AUGUCUCUGCAGCAACCAGAUUUGACUAAGUACAUGGACACGGGCGCUACAUCCAACAUGUCUAACGAACCAGGAUCUCAAGACCAAGACCCCUCUUCUUCGGUGCAACAGCAGCGGUGAUCUCUACCCUCUGGUGCUCGGGUCAUCCACCACUCAACCUACUGCUCUCGCUGCUAUAUCCUCACAACUCUGGCAUCACCGGCUUGGUCACCCAGGACGGCCUUCUUUGACUACAUUAAAAACUUCUAGUUUAAUUUCUUUUGAUAAAUUUCAGAAUAAUGUAUGCCAGUCUUGUAUUUUUGGUAAAAGUGUUCGUUUACCAUUUUUUCCUUCCAAUAAUAUAACUAUUA
rnacentral:lncRNA from 1 species